rnacentral:rRNA from 1 species
UACGGGGGGGGGCAAGCGUUGUUCGGAAUUACUGGGCGUAAAGGGCUCGUAGGUGGCCAACUAAGUCAGACGUGAAAUCCCUCAGCUUAACUGGGGAACUGCGUCUGAUACUGGAUGGCUUGAGUUUGGGAGAGGGAUGCGGAAUUCCAGGUGUAGCGAUGAAAUGCGUAGAUAUCAGGAGGAACACCGGUGGCGAAGGCGGGUCUCUGGGCCGAUACUGACGCUGAGGAGCGAAAGCGUGGGGAGCAAACAGG